UAUCGUCAAUAAUCUUCAAUGAAUACAUUCAUUGAUACGCUGUUACGAUAAUCAUUUUCGACUACAAAAAACUUGACUUAUUGCAAUUGGGGUUUUUUUUUCUAUGGUCUUGAACUAUUUGGAACAAAUAUUGUUUUUGUUCCUCAUUUUUCGUUAACAAAUUAUUAUAUUCCUCGACAAGGGCUACUCCACGUUCAGCUGAAUCAUUUACUACUUUCAUUUGUGAGAAAACCCUUAAGCACGUUUGAAAGCUUUCAGUAGAUUCCCAUUGUUCGAGAGGCUCAUCCAGGAAAUCAUGGGGCAAUUCACAUCGUUGAAAUAAGCGCCUCGACUUUUGAGUGAUGAAAUGACUUAUGUCAAUUUCAGGCAAGUUUUUUGUAGCAGAAG